CAUGGUUGUGAUUAAGAGUAUUAGGGGUGGGGCUUAUUUUGUGAUUGACAGCACUGGACGAAGAGGCGGAGGAGGCUCAUUUUAUUUGAUGUGACUAGAGGAGGAGUUUCAGUGGUGAUUGACAGCACUGGAGGAGGAGUUUCAGUUUUAAUUGCUGUGACUGGAGUAGGAGCUUCACAAAAUGGCUGUCAUGAUUUAG